GGAAGAUUAAUUACAAUAAACACCCUAUCACAUCCUAUAUGUGAUUGGCUUGUAGGAUAUUAUUCUUUCAAUCUCCCACUUGCACUUAAAGCCAAUCAUCCCUAUACUUGAUACCCAUGCUAUCAAGAUGGCGGUCAAACUGCUGCAUUGACAAAGCUUUAGUGAAUGGGCCACUAUAUUGUUCUUGAUGUCAACUCGCUCC
rnacentral:lncRNA from 1 species